AUUUGCCUCUGUUCUACCGAGUGUUUGAAGUCAGAAGUCCUUAGUUUAACUGCUGUAAAACUUAACCUCCAAUCUUAAACUGGCAUUCAACAGAUACAAAGCAAUGCUACUCCGUUGGGAGUUGGCAGUCUAGUGAUGAUCUAUGAGCUUUUUGUUAUUGGCUUGUAAUGAGACAGGUAUAGAAACUAAAUUAUAUUUGUGUUACUUACCAGUGGUAAGCAACUAUUAUAAAAUUUGGUAUUACUGAAACAUACAAGCACAUAAUCAGACACAUUUUUGGAGCAGAAUAUAGAAUAGCUCAGGUGCUUUUCAUUUCGUUUUUCUAGUAGUUGAUUUUUAUCAUAUUUUACUGAAGUAUUGGCCUUCUAUGAAAUGUAAAAAGAAACUGGUUCUUUACUGCAGAUGAUUUGAGAAGCACUGAUGGAGAAGUCGAGUUCCUUAUUCAGAUAUUAAGCCAAUCUUACUCUUUCCAAUGUCAUCUUGGUGACCCAAUUGUGACAAGAAUGUCCAGAUACAGUUUGGUGUUGUGAACUGGUUGGCUUCCCCGUUUUGCAGAUAGAACUACAAAAAUAGAAUACACACUCAAUGGGCUGACCAACUGAUUCAUAACAUCUUUAUUGGAGAAUGAACUUUCUUUUUCUCUCCAGGCCCCCUGUAACCCCUGUCUGGUAUUUUCUACAUGACUGAUUCCUCUCUAGAGCCAGAACUAUGGAAUCUUAAGAGAAUCUGUAUUUCUUUAAAAAGAAUAAAUAUCUUAUGACACUCUU
rnacentral:lncRNA from 1 species